GUGGCGUCGGAGGCGACACAAGCGGACACUGUCUUUGUUCACUUCUCGCCGGCUCCGCACUGCGUCAGCAUCCUCUUCCCACCCCCCACACGCACACACGUACACCGUGAUGACUGCAAGAGUGCUGGGCAAAAACACACCGCAAAUGCGGGCGAGAAUGAGCAUCCUGUUGUCAUGGAUGGGGCCAAUGACUGUGGCCGCUUCCGUGGCCUACGCGUAUGCCGCCAACCACCCCUCUGCGGCACAGCUGGAAAGCGGCUCUGCCUACCCGUUCCCUCUCACCACGCUCAGGUACUGCGGGCUUCUAUUCCUCGUCUACGCAUCAGGCACGAUGCCGCGCAAUCCGUUCUUCCCCAGUUUUGUGUUCCGUAGCAACAUCUUUCCUCUGCUGUACAAGAUGUACUGCAGCUACACCAUCGGCUAUCGUGUUCUCCGCCCCUUCAUGCACAAGCCGGUCGCCUACCCGCACUCGGACUACCGCAUCGGGAUUCGCUGCAUUGACGCCGGCAGUCCGCUGCGGCUGAAGCCAGUCACCACUGGCGCCGCUCCGUUUCUCACCAGGUUCUACGCGCGCGCCGGUGGUGUCGUAGAUGCAGCGCUGUGGACAGGAUCGGUCGUGCGUGGUGUUGCCGUUGUACCGAUCCCCAUCUUCGGUGACAACUAUGCCUACCUUAUCGUGUCGAUGCAAACGCACAAGGUCGCCGCGGUCGACCCGGCGGAUCCGGAGACGGUGCUGCGCAUCAUGGAAUCCCUGCGCGCUCAGCUGCGAGUACCGCUGCAGCUGACGGAGGUGCUCACGACCCACAAGCACUGGGACCACGCAGGCGGCAAUGAGUUGCUGGCAACGCUUUCGAAAAAAGAGGUGCCAGUGCCGCCGCACGAGGAGGUCGGUGUCGACUGCGCACCGAAUAUGCCCCUGCUUCAUCCCAAGCUACGCUUUAUCGGCUCUGAGGAAGACGCGCCUCUGUGCUGCGACGUCCUCGUCAGCGACGCGUCGCCCGUGUUCGAGAUCAUGGGCGGUGCGGCAAAGGUGCAGGCGAUGGCUGCCCCCGGCCACACGAAGGGAUCCUUGGUUUUUGUGGUAGGCUCAGCAGAGGAAGGCGUCCUUACCGCGACCCCGGCCCGCGUCGCCGUCUUCACAGGCGAUAGCCUCUUCUGCGGCGGGUGUGGCGCACCGUUCGAGACGGUCUCAGUAGCCCAGAUCAUGAAGGCGCGUGCGACGUUUCUGGAGGACCCGCGCAUGCGGACGCAGCCCGGCACCGGGCAGGAGGUGGCCGAAGAGGACGUCCUUCUUUAUGUUGGGCACGAGUACACGGAACGGUUGUUGGCGGAAGUGGUCACACUGAUGACGCGCGUCACGACGAGGAGCCGCACCCCCAGCGACCCGCGUGGCAAGGAGUACUUGCGUGCGGUCGCUGAUGCGCUGGACGGGGUGAAGAUGCUGCGCACGGAGUCUGAUGGACUCACGGAUGCGGCGCGCAUGGGGUGCGAGGCGGAUAGGCAGAAGCCGCAAGUCCUCCUUCCGUCGUGCACCGUGCCGUCGUCGCUGGCGGUGGAGAAGGUGGUGAACCCGCUCUUGACGGUCGAUGACGAGGUGCUUACCGCGCUGAAGGAAGCAGAGAAGCACGGCCCGAUGGACUCGAACGAGGUGGAGCGGGCGAUCUACUGCUCUGACCGUCGUCGCCUCCCUGCUUCGGCGACGUAGGCAAGGCGCCCAAGCCGCAGCAGCCGAGCCGGUGUGCUACCACCCGCUUACUUGGCUCAUUCACGCUGGCGAUUUUUCAUAUCCGUUCGCCCCAUUACCUUUCCUUGCCGACUGCCGUGUUGGUAGUGGUGUUUGUCUAGCGAAGGCGCGCAUGUGGGCGGGAAUGAAGGCCCGCUCGCGCGCCGGCGGACUGUCUUGAUUCUCGUUCCUUUGGGUGCAGCCGACACUGGGAAGGCGACCCCUCGACCUCUCACUCAAUGUGCCGGGGUGAUGGAGUCAAACGCCAACGCACAAGGUGCACCACACGCAAUCCAGUGGCCGCACCGCUUCUUUCUUCCCUGCUGCGUAUGGCUCCUUAUUCUUGGGUGGGGUUGGAUGCUUGUGGUGCCCUCGUCUUUGCUUUCUGGUUUGCCUACGCCAUGCCCUUUGGGUGUGUGUGUGUGUGUGUGUGGCGUGUCAUUGUGCUUUACCCGGCAUUCAUUUAACAGUAUCGCAUGGUGCAUUCUGGAAGGAAGGGAGCAUG
rnacentral:misc_RNA from 1 species